rnacentral:rRNA from 1 species
UACGUAGGGGGCGAGCGUUGUCCGGAUUUAUUGGGCGUAAAGAGCGUGUAGGCGGUUCGGUAAGUCUGUCGUGAAAUCCUGGGGCUCAACCCCGGGCGUGCGAUGGAUACUGCCGGGCUAGAGGAUGGUAGAGGCGAGUGGAAUUCCCGGUGUAGCGGUGAAAUGCGCAGAUAUCGGGAAGAACACCCGUGGCUAAGGCGGCUCUCUAGUACGGUACUGACGCUGAGACGCGAAAGCGUGGGGAGCGAACAGG